AACGAACGCUGGCGGCAGGCCUAAAACAUGCAAGUCGAACGGGUGUAGCAAUACAUCAGUGGCGCACGGGUGAGUAACGCGUGGGAACAUGCCCCUUAGUACGGGACAACGUCGGGAAACUGACGCUAAUACCGUAUAAUAUCUCCGGAUCAAAGAUUUAUCGCUGAGGGAGUGGCCCGCGUCUGAUUAGCUAGUUGGUGAGGUAAUGGCUCACCAAGGCUACGAUCAGUAGCAGGUCUGAGAGGAUGAUCUGCCACACUGGGACUGUGACACGGCCCAGACUCCUACGGGAGGCAGCAGUUAGGAAUAUUGGACAAUGGGCGAAAGCCUGAUCCAGCCAUGCCGCGUGUGUGAUGAAGGCCUUAGGGUUGUAAAGCACUUUCGUUGGGGAUGAUAAUGACCGUACCCAAAGAAGAAGCACCGGCUAACUUCGUGCCAGCCGCCGCCGUAA
rnacentral:rRNA from 1 species